UAGGCAUUAUGUUCUUGCCAUUACCAUUAAAACCAAACCAUCAAAACCAUUCAAGAGAGAUCUUCGAGAUUAGGGUACCAUUAAAAAAUAAAAUUGUUGUUUGAUUAUUCAUAAGAUUCAAUGGUGGUAUACCAAGAGUAUUACAGCGUUUGUGUUCGAUUACAGUGCACAGAAGUUGAGAUUUAAGGAAGACGAAGAAGGAAACUUUUGAAUUGAAGCAAUAUGGGUCUUCAAAUGGAUGAGUUGUUAGGACAGUUGGAAAGAAUUUCAAAGUAAAGAUGAGGAAGUGACAUGAUGCGUUUGAAGUAUGGGAUUUCUGUUGAGCUUGGAAGAAUGGUUUUGUGCUUGAUAAAGUGGUAGUUCUAGGAGAAGUUUUAGCUAAAAUUAAGCAGUGAAGAAUCAGGCAAAGUCUUGACUUGCUUCUCCAUCUAAAAAUGUCGGAACAAUGUCAAUUUCCAUCUUUUCUACCUGGUAAAACCAAACCAUUCUCACCUGAUGCUUUGGUGUUGAUUAUUUGUAAUGCAUGGUUUAAGAGAUUGAGUUUGUGUUAGAUAUGACCUUGUUUUUUUUCUUUAAUUAAGAUAGGUUAAUUCGAGAGAUGUGUACAACUUUUGGUAAUGAUUCGUUGAAUUUGAUUUGAUUUCAUUAA